rnacentral:rRNA from 12 species
AUUAGCAGCCACACCAUCCUGCGAAUGCCCGAUCCCAUCUGGUCUUGGAAGCUAAGCAGGGUUGGGCCUGGUUACUCCCAUUUGGAUGGGAGACCAGAGGCUGUUAGAC